AAAGAUGGAUCGUGUAGUGAAUACGAGCAGCUGAAGCAAGAAAAUAUUGAAAGAAAUAAAAGGAGGUUGGCAUCUCUUAACAUCCCUGAAAUCGUCAAGAGUAUGGAGCACCAAGGUCCAUCCAAAAAAAAUUCAAAGAAAAAACAGAAGACAAGUGUUCCAACAACUAAACCUCCAAACUUGCGACCAAGGCCACAAAGACAAAGUGUUCCAACAACUAAACUCCAAACUUGCGACCAAGGCCACAAAGACAAAAUGCUCAAGCUCAAGACGAACAAGCGAUUGCUGAUUUGCAGACGGUGGGAGAUUUUCUCACUGACAAUGUUGAAGUUUCCGAGGAUGAUCCAAUCAAUGCUACAAAAAAGAGGCCUGCAAGGGGCAUAACUAAGAUGGAGGGAAUAUUCUCAAGGUCACCUGAAAUGCCAAAAAUCAAAAUUUUUCUCAAUGAUCGAGGUCAGCCCAUUGGUAAAAGUGCUAGACAACUUUCAAGUGCUAUUGGGUGUCAAGUUAGAAAGAAAUUGUCUAUUGCUACCACGGACUGGAGGCUUGUUGAUAUAAACAAGAAGUAUGAGUUGUGUGUAACACCCAUUUUGUAAAAU